UUGGCCCCUUUUACCCAAAUAUCACAUCUUAAAUCCCAUGGAUUGUCAAGCAUUGCAGCAAAAUAUCAGGGAGAGCGGAUUUUGACAUUUUGGUGUAGGAUUAGGCUGGAUGUGAAGUCUAUGGAGGUUGGCGCUCCAUGGUCCAUGGGUGUGUGUGAGUGCGCUGGUGCCCGGGCUUGGUUGCUGGUAGCAGGGGUGGGUGCAGGGUCUGAUGUGGAGACUCAGUGUUUCCCCCGGUUCUCAGGAGGCUUUACUUGGUACACCUGCAGCCACUUGCUGCACUCUUGAUUGCAUGAGCAGAAGGCAGCUGUGGGUACCUAACAUGCCAAUCAACGAAUGACUGAGGAGCAGUACUUAACAGCCCAGGACCGGAGCGGACUUCUUUCCCCUCCACUGUUCACACGAUUCUCAUAUCAACAUGGCGCCCCCAAAGCAUAGUGUUUGUUGCCCACUCUGCCGUUCUGAAUUUACCUAUAUAGGCAGGCACCUAAGAAAUAGUCAUGGCAUUAAAAAUUCAAAAGAGCGAGAAAUAUUGAUCAAGUACAGUAGUGGGAGGGUCAAUAUUAGAAAAAUGCCCUGUCCAGUGGAGGGCUGCAGUUAUGCUAGCACAAGGCUGGACAGGCAUAUUGCUCAAGCUCACCCGGAGAUGGAGGGGGAGAGGAAAGCCCAGGUGAUAACCGAUUUGAAGUACCAGGUAACGGUGCACAUGCUGCGAGCGUUGAGCGCCACAAACCCGAGCCCUCCGAUGGUCUCACGCUUACACAUGGACCCAAUAGCAAGAGAGGAAGCAAAUCGGUAUCAUCCAACAUCAGAACCCCUUGAUGACGAACCAUCGCCUUCAUCCUGCAACUCGUGCAAACAGCUUGAGGCAAAGAACCUGCAGCUUAUAUCCGACUUGGGGCAACUAAGAAAGAAAUUGCUGUACCAGCACAGAUGGGCUGAAAGGGCAAAAAAAACAAUCAAACGACUGGAAGAGGACCGCCAAAAGGCAUCCACAGCCCCGGUUCCAAGUGUGGACGUUGAUGCUCUGGUGAGGAGUGAAUCUUUCUCUCCUGAUGAAGAACAGCAGCACAUCAACAGACCUAAGUCAAAGGGGGAAAGCCGGAGCACCCUCUGUUUGGCGAAAGCGUACCCCAAAUUCCCACCAAGCAUCUGUAAGUAAUGUCACUGAUUGCUGUAUUUAUAAAAAAAAUAAAUAAAAAUUCUAAGUGUUGAGAACCAGGCGCACACAAGGGGGCGCUGUCAGAGAGUAAUCCGAGGACAGUGCCUCGGGUCGGGGCUACAGCAGCGGGAUCUCCCCCCUGUCCUUCUGGAAGUCUGUGCGAGCUUUUAAAAAAUAUUUCUAAGUGUUUAUGGAUCCAGAGACGCAGAAGGGGG